AAUAAAGCAAUGAAGUAACGCAGUAGUAACUUGGACCCUGGCCAAGAGAGCUGAUGUUCGCUGUAAAUCAGUCUAUUCCAAGUUUAUGAAGUACAUUAUGGAGCAAAAUUCGGUUGAUCUCGUUAUCGAUGUUUAAGGUGACUGCAGUUAUUGCAGUAAUCUGGGUGGUAACGCGGUAAGAUUCGUCCCUGAU
rnacentral:ncRNA from 1 species